AACAAACUACCUGGAAUGGAUAACAAAGGGUUAAUGCAGAAAGGUUAUACAAAAUGCCAAGAAAAAUGCCUGAAAUCUUUAAAUAUCUUUACUCAAAGAACAUUUUGAUUAGUAAGAAAUACACAUACCAGGCACAGUGGCUCACGCCUGUAAUCCCAGCACUUUGGGAGGCCCAGGCAGGCGGAUCACUUCAGGUCAGGAGUUCAAGACCAGCCUGGCCAACAUGGCGAAACCCAGUAUCUACAAAAAUACAAAAAUUAGCCAGAUGUGGUGGCGUGCACCUGUAAUUCCAGCUACUCAGGAGGCUGCGGCAGGAGAAUCACUUGAACCCGGGAGGCCAAGGUUGCAGUGAGCUGAGAUCGGACCACUGUACUCCAGCCUGGGCAACAGAGUGAGACUCCAUCUAAAAAUCAAUCAAUAAAUAUAAGAAUACAGAUAUGAGGCCAAACACAGUGGCUUAUGCCUGUAAUCCUG
rnacentral:lncRNA from 1 species